GACGAACGCUGGCGGUGUGCUUAACACAUGCAAGUCGAACGGUAAGGCCCUUUCGGGGGUACACGAGUGGCGAACGGGUGAGUAACACGUGCGUAACCUGCCCUCAUCUCUGGGAUAACAGUCGGAAACGGUUGCUAAUACUGGAUAUGAGCUUGCAAGGCAUCUUGUGGGUUGGAAAGAUUUUUUUUGGUUGGGGAUGGACUCGCGGCCUAUCAGCUUGUUGGUGAGGUAGUGGCUCACCAAGGCUUCGACGGGUAGCCGGCCUGAGAGGGCGACCGGCCACAUUGGGACUGAGAUACGGCCCAAACUCCUACGGGAGGCAGCAGUGGGGAAUAUUGCACAAUGGACGGAAGUCUGAUGCAGCAACGCCGCGGGCGGGAUGACGGCCUUCGGGUUGUAAACCGCUUUCAAUUGUGACGAAGCUUUGUUGUGACGGUAGCAGUAGAAGAAGCACCGGCUAACUACGUGC
rnacentral:rRNA from 1 species